rnacentral:rRNA from 1 species
GAUGAACGCUGGCGGCGUGCCUAAUACAUGCAAGUCGAGCGAACAGACGAGGAGCUUGCUCCUCUGACGUUAGAGGCGGACGGGUGAGUAACAUGUGGAUAACCUACCUACAAGACUGGGUUAACUUCGUGAAACCGAUGCUGAUAACGGAUAAUAUAUUGAAGCGCAUGGUUCAAUAGUGAAAGACGGUUUUGCUGUCCCUUAUAGAUGGAUCCGCGCCGCAUUAGCUAGUUGGUAAGGUAACGGCUUACCAAGGCAACGAUGCGUAGCCGACCUGAUAGGGUGAUCGGCCACUCUGGAGCUGAGACACGGUCCAGACUCCUACGGGAGGCAGCAGUAGGGAAUCUUCCGCGAUGGGCGAAAGCCUGACGGAGCAACGCCGCGUGAGUGAUGAAGGUCUUCGGAUCGUAUAACUCUGUUAUUAGGGAAGAACAAAUGUGUAAGUAACUAUGCACGUCUUGACGGUACCUGAUCAGAAAGCCACGGCUAACUACGUG